GACGAACGCUGGCGGCGUGCCUAAUACAUGCCAGUAGAACGCUGAAGAGAGGAGCUUGCUCUUCUUGGAUGAGUUGCGAACGGGUGAGUAACGCGUAGGUAACCUGCCUUGUAGCGGGGGAUAACUAUUGGAAACGAUAGCUAAUACCGCAUAACAAUGGAUGACCCAUGUCAUUUAUUUGAAAGGGGCAAAUGCUCCACUACAAGAUGGACCUGCGUUGUAUUAGCUAGUAGGUGAGGUAACGGCUCACCUAGGCGACGAUACAUAGCCGACCGGAGAGGGUGAUCGGCCACACUGGGACUGAGACACGGCCCAGACUCCUACGGGAGGCAGCAGUAGGGAAUCUUCGGCAAUGGGGGCAACCCUGACCGAGCAACGCCGCGUGAGUGAAGAAGGUUUUCGGAUCGUAAAGCUCUGUUGUAAGUCAAGAACGAGUGUGAGAGUGGAAAGUUCACACUGUGACGGUAGCUUACCAGAAAGGGACGGCUAACUACGUG
rnacentral:rRNA from 1 species